rnacentral:rRNA from 1 species
GGGUGCGAUCACCCUGGGAAGUCCUCGUGUUGCACCCCUC